AACGCGAAGAACCUUACCAGGUCUUGACAUCUGAAUGACCGGUGCAGAGAUGUGCCUUUUCUUCGGAACAUUCAAGACAGGUGGUGCGUGGUUGUCGUCAGCUCGUGUCGUGAGAUGUUGGGUUAAGUCCCGCAACGAGCGCAACCCUUAUGCUUAGUUGCCAGCACGUAACGGUGGGCACUCUAAGCAGACUGCCGGUGACAAACCGGAGGAAGGUGGGGAUGACGUCAAAUCAUCAUGCCCCUUAUGACCUGGGCUACACACGUACUACAAUGGUCGGUACAACGGGAAGCAAAGCCGCGAGGUGGAGCCAAUCCUUAAAAGCCGAUCUCAGUUCGGAUUGCAGGCUGCAACUCGCCUGCAUGAAGUCGGAAUUGCUAGUAAUCGCGGAUCAGCAUGCCGCGGUGAAUACGUUCCCGGGCCUUGUACACACCG
rnacentral:rRNA from 1 species